rnacentral:lncRNA from 1 species
GAUUUGGUUCUAUAAUCACAAAAGAAAAUACAAGUCCUGGUUCGCCGGAUCAGACCUUAAGAGAGAAGAAAACAAUUUAGAUAACACUUUUUGAUGACUUAUUUCAUUCUAUUACCAUCAUCUUAGAGUACAAUCCAUAACUAUAAGGUCCGCAAAAUUUACAAAAUGCAAACAUAUUAUUGGGUGCCAACACAAUAACAAAAUGGCAACUUAUGAAAUAUUUUAGUAAGCCUUUUAUGCGCUCUCUUGGGUCAAAUACUCAUAGAAUCUUUAUCUCGUCGUUAUUAAGACAUACACAAGUACGGUGCCUACACCUCGGUGUAUAAGCAGAUGAGCACAUACUGUCCGGACAAUCUAAAUUUCGAAGACAUCUAAAACCUGGAAUGAAAAAGAGAAUAAAACAAUGUUACUUACAUGGGAUAAAAUAGUGUGCACGAAGUAAAUAAGGAAAUUUAAAAAGGAUAACAAAUGACUUACCGUCAAUAUUUUCUACAACAAGACAUAGGAAAAUAAAGAUGAUCAUGACAUAAACAAACUUGACAAAUUCAGCCAUAUUACCCCCCUUAUGAUC